rnacentral:tRNA from 1 species
CGGGGUGUAGCGCAGUUGGCAGCGCGCAGCGUUCGGGACGCUGAGGCCGAGAGUUCAAGUCUCUCCACCCCGA